ACAAAUUGUUUAAUGCUGAACAAUUCAUCUCAUUAAAGUGGUUAUAGUGUCCCCUGGCACUGGCCUCCCGCCAGUGCCAGGGGACACUAUAACCACUUUAAUGAGAUGAGGCGGUUACAGCU